UGGGCAGCAGAGGACAUUAUCAAUUA
rnacentral:piRNA from 1 species